UUUUCCCCCUUUUGUUGCAUAUUUGUACUGUAUGCAUUCUUGUUCUGGGAUGUCGUGGAGUACACUGAAUUUUAACAGUAUUUUUUUAAUUUAGAAUAUUAGUAUUUUUUUUAGAUAAAGUGCUGUGAAUAUUAAAAAACUAAAACCAAAUAAACUUAAAAUUUUCUUUUCCUUCAGGCUUACAGACUUUAUCCAGUUUAACUUUGGACCCUAAUCUGGUAUACCUUCCUGUUUCGACUAGCUUUUUAUUUUGUGUGUACAUAGUACAAUAAGUGGACUUCCAGGAAACUUUGUAGUGAGUCCAGUAAAUCUUCGUUAUGAAGUGCAUUGGUUCAUUUGCGUCUGUGCACAAAAGGCUUGCCACGUUAGGAGUGAGAGAGAAUCUCGGUAUUCUGGUGUUACCUGAAGUACAUAUGAAACUUAAAUACAUCUAGCAUCUAUGUCAUUUCACUUUGAAUUGUAAUUAGUGUUCCUACAGAAAGAAUAGUCUGUAAUGGAUGUAGCAGCUGUUGCCUUACUUGAAAAAAGAAAAAGUAGAAUUGUUGAAUAUAGGAGUCAGUAAUGAAAUUUAAGUUCAUAAUGAGGAGCUAUUGUGACUUCUAAUUUAAUGUGCAGUUAAAACUACAGAUGGUUAAUGUCUUUCUGUAUUACUGACCUAAUUUAAUAUUACUGUUUCUAUGGCAAAUGUUUGUCUGUGGUUUGCACUGCAUAGUGGCUGUAUGUUUUGCUAUGUAGACUCAUGUUGACAUCUGAUUAUCUUUUUUCCCCUGUUUCUUCACACAACAUGAAGUGUUUUCUGAAACUUUUUCAGCUCUACUGAGCAAAUUUAGGUUAUGGGUGAAAUUAUCUACUUUUGGUCACUUGAAUGAAUGUUUUGGUUUUCAGCUAAAACAAGAUCCAGUUCACAGUUUGAUCAAUUUCUUACACUCCCACAGCUCCCACAUCAGACUGGUGCUGACUUGUUUUGGAAACUGAGAACAAUGAGCUAUGUCAAAUGUGACAAAUUAAGGGUGAACAUUGCCCUUAUUAACAUACUGAGAAAUUAUGGAGGUUUUGCAGUCCCAGUUCAGGCUCAAGGACUUCCAUCUUUGUAAUUGAGGCACCACCACAGAAGACUCUUAUUCUUCUGUAUAAAGAAGUAUUUCAAUAAACUGUUUACUAAUGGGGAAAGCAGCUUUUGAGUAGUCACGCAGAAUCAGAAGCAAAGUCACCAUGGCCAGAGUAGGUGCAUGUAGGUGUAAGAAUAUCCUUCCAGUGGUACAGUAGGUAUUUUUGGUACAAAUGAUUAAACAAACAUCUCUUUAAUUUGAGAAUAUAUGUAUUUUAGGAGGACACAAAUCUAAUUUUCUCUUUCAGGUAGGCCAAAAUCUUUUGGUAAGAGGUAUUUUGGACUUUAUAAGCACAUAACUUAUAGUGCAUGAAUGAUAGGUGUUUAUAAUGUUUAUUUGAUACAUCUUACCCUUGGGAGUGUUUUAUAUUUUCUUUGUAUAUUAGAGCCUUCAGAAAUCAAUCAAAACAAAGAAAUGUAUCUAGGACUGAUAAAUUGUUUGGAGGAAGAUGUUUAUGUGAGUUUGUGCGAUUGUACUGUAUAGACUUUUAUUGCCAGUCCAUCUCAUUAACGCAAAUAAGCCACUCAACGUACUCACUGAAUGAACAAAACCCUUUCUGAAAGCACAGAAAGGUUCGGUAUGUAGAACUUCCAGAAGUGAAAGAGUUAAUGACGGGCUGCACUGCAUUCAGUGUAUUUGCAGAUGUUGCUGCAACCAGCUGCUGAUUUUUCUCCCAUCCUGUUAGGGAAUUCUGCCAGCUGUGAUUCAUGGAAUGAUUUUUUUGCGCUGAGUAAUCUGUGGUUUUUCUUUUUUCCUCUUCUCCCUCCCUUAUUUUUACCGUAAACUAAAAUCCUAUUCAUUUUAGCUAAAGGGAGGGAAGGCUUCUAAAGCACUUAUGUAAAACAUUAAGUGCGCUCUGUUUUGGAUAGAGGAAUUUUAGCAAACAUUAAAUUUGCCGUGAUUUUACUUUCUCUCCAACUGAAUAGACCAGUUUAGAGAAAGUUUUAUGACAGAACCAGCUUUUGUUUUUUGCUAGUCAUAUGGUGUGACAGUUCUUGUAAGACUUUUGUGCUUGUACUGCUAAAGAACAUCCAAGUUUUGUGCUGAUACUGUGCCUCCUUUCUCACAGAUCGCUCUGAAAGAAAUAAACCAGACUGCCGCUCUUCAGGGUAAGAACCAUAUUCCUGUGUUUAUUCUUUGCUUCUUUUCCUUCUUUUCUUUCUGUUUUUUUCUUUUUCCUUGUAUGGGAUGAAUUAGGAAAUUAGCCAAAAUAAUAAGAAAGGCUUUCUUCUACUUCUCUGUUUUGAUUACAGUAAAAAAUAAACAGAAAAAAUGCUACAUAACUUUGUGUUAAGGGCAAUUAUCUAGUUUUCUUAUGGACAAAAUUUUUUGAGGAAUGGUCAGGGUUCCCUAUGCUGUAAGUGUGUGUGCUUGAAGUUCAAAAUGCUUGUUUAUUGUUGUUUAUGACAAGAAGCACUCAUCAAUUUUGCUUCUUUAUUCUUUGGAGCGUUGGCUUUUGUAGCAGGGAAAUUAAUUCUUGGUUCAGUCAAGGGUAGCUACGCUUUAUUCUGCUAACUCUGAUCCUAUCACUCCUAAGGCUUCAAAAUUGGGAAAAGCAAACAAAAAGAUGUUAAUGCAAACACACAAACAUUUUAUUUUUAUCCAGAAUUUGCAUUAGAAAUUGCUAGACUUCCAAAACUACUGAUUUGCGAGGCCACACUUUCCCUUGCUUUUUCUGAAUAUUCUCAAAAAUUUUUGUGUUUUCCUCUCAUUUAAAAAAGAAAAAAAAUCUUUUCAAUUUAAAAGAAUUAUAUAAGAAGUACGUUAAAUUAAAAAAGAAAAAAAAUCUUUCCCUUUUGCCUUAUUUCCAAACUCGUUCAUCAAUUCUCUCCACUAAGGAAUAAGAUCUCCUCUAUAUCCUGUGGUGGAUAAUGGGAUUUUAAUGAUGUAAAGAGAUGGAGCAGACUAACUAGCAGUGGUUCCUGCACUCCUUUAUGACAUACCUUUCCAUAGGACACCUCUGCUGCCAGCCUUCAGACAUGACAGGAGCUUUUCAUUUUAUUUCACUCUAAUUAUUUUUGUUGUUACAUUUUUGAUAGUACACUGAGGUAGCUUUUAUAGCUAGAAGAAUGGAGGGAACUGUAACCUCUUCUUGUAGCACAGCUGGUAUCUACCAUGUGAUGUGAGGGGGGGGAAGACGUCUGCCCCUUCCCUCCCAUUUACCCAGCAGUACUGCAGUUGUUUCCAGCUGUGUGUUGUUGAAUUUGCAAUGGGAAGAUAACUUACAUCUAUCUACUUGACACACCAGUCACAGUGCUUCCUUUUACAAUUAAAAUUGCCUGUUUUUUUCCUUACAAUGAUGCAAUUGUACUCUACGUGUUUGAACCUUAAUUAGAUUAUGCAAUAAAAUUGAAUCCAAAUUAUUAUCAAAGGGAAAUAUAAUGAUCAAAACAUUGAAUUUAAGGUUGAAAGUCUGUUUCCCUUUCAUCUGAUUGGUCCUUCCCACCGAUACCUUACUUAUUUUUCCCUGCAGUGUAUUUUAGAAGUUCUAAUUCUUUUCCUUUUUUUUCUUACCCCCCAUGGAAUUAGAAUUACAGGUGUGAACCACCUUGACAAUGAAAUUCUUCCCUAAAUUGUCUUUGUUUCAGAUUCCAAAUUCUCCCAUGGAAAACACAUGAAAUUAACAGUCUAGUGUAAGUUGCUCAUAGCAUUGAGAAAAUUGAGGUGUUCAUAGACUUUCAUUUCUGUUAGUAGUGCACAUGGCUUCUAAUUAUUUCUAUGUAUCUUCUGUCACCUUCUCAGUCUCAGUGGCCAUCAUGUUAUGUUAAUUCUGCUUUUGAGGGCGAGCUCUGAGAAUGACAAGUCUUUGUUAAAAGGAAAGUGUGGUUUUGUCUAUGUCUGGUGGUUGCUCCUAGGCCAGAGCAGAAGCAGCCUGCCUUAUUUAAAUGAUCUACUCUUCUAAUUGAUACUACUACAAUCUGUGGUUCAUCUCUUACUAUAAUGGCAGUGUUCUAAUUUUGUGUGACGGCUUGCUGGAUGAGGUUCUUAUCCCCAGCCUGACCAUAUCAGCUCUGGGAAGAGAGAUGCAGGCACAAGGAGAGCAGCAUCUCUGGCUGUAAAAACUGUGUGAAAACUAAAUACUGAAGCAUCUGAAACUUUCAUUAAACUACAGUGCAUCACUUCUCACGUAACGCAGGCUGCAUUUCAGAGCUGUUUGAGUUACACCGGGGACUACUUAUGCCAUUUUAUGAUGGGUGUCUGCAGCCAUGACCUUUUACUCUGUGGGGGCAGCUCGUGACAAGGGAAAGGCAAAAUAAAAUGGCUUAAAGGCAUCUUUUCUAUUUUUUUUUGUGUCAAGCUACACGUUGCAGGAUGCGUCUUGAAAGUGCGAUAUAACAUCCCUCUCAUGAUCUAAAGCUGAACGAAAUUACUUUGCAGGUCAUUUACUUGGAAUGCAAGGUCUAAUAAGAAUUUCUGAACUAGAAUUUGUGUAAAAUUAGUGUGGGGAAAAAAAAAUGAGGUGGACUUGGGGAUGCUAGUCAACUGUAUGAAGACAUAUGCAGUGAACCUUUAGAAAGGCAGAUAUUGUAAGAUGGAAUAGUUGGUGUAAAUCUUACUGAGAGAGACAGAAGUAGUAAUUUAUUUCAUAUAAAGCCCUGGUGAGGUCUUGUAUCAUAAAUGUGGAACAUGGGAUGAAAAGAAACAAACAAAAAAGCUCUAACAUCACCAUAUCAUAACUUUCUGCAGCUCUGAAAGGCCAUUUUAACCCACAAAAUGAUAAGCUUAGUAUGGCAGUAUUUCUUGUGGCUUUGAGGAGCUAAAGUGGGAUCUUGCAUGAGGCUGGUAAAUUUGGGGUUUGGAUAAACGAAGAUCAUAGUUGAUGUUUAAAAGGAGGGAAACAUGCCUUAGAUAUUGCUUACGAAAUACGUCUUCAUUAUACUCUUUUAUGUCUUUUGGCAAUUAGCAACAGUCUGCUGUAUAGGAGAGAAUGGGCCACGUGAGAAGGAUCCACUGUCAGAAAAUGGCCCGUGUGCUAUUCUGCAUUUACUUCCAUUUGUUUUUUUCCUUACAUAUUUGGCACAUUAAUAAACUAAAAUGGAUGUUCCAUUAAUCCAGAUAAUACCUAUUGCUAUGUUAAAUCUUAUCUAGGAACAUUUAAUUUUGUGGCCUAAUAUUAACCACCCUUCAAUUAUUAAAUUCCUGACAGUAUUACAAAUGAGUCUAUUCUGCAGUAACAGUCUGUAAUUAUUAUUAUUUCUUGAUUUUACUGUCAGGUCAUGCACUGUUGUAGCACAGGUCAAUUAAGUCAAAGUAGUAGGCCCUUUAGUCUUACAUCUCUAAAUGUUUUCACACUGCAAAUUGCAUAGUAAUAAUAGAAUAGAAGAUUUCAGGCAUCCAUGUGUUUCUAGUUAAUCCUUGAAGAUGAGUAAAUCUCCCAGAAGGAGCUGGAUUAACAACGCUGUGCUGGUUUUUUUUUUUCCCUUUGGAAUAAGGACCACAGAUCAGAAAAUCCUGAAACAUGGUCUUGUGAUAUAACUCAUGGUAGUGGCUUUCACCUUGGACAUGAGAGGAUGAAGUUAACUGAAGAAUGCAAUAGUUUAUUGGCAGAUCUACUAGUGUAUCAAUCACUCAUAGUGAAGUAAGGGAUUUUGAUUUUUAAAUCUAGGAGACUACUGUGAAAAUUUGUCCUCAAUUUGGGGAAGAAGUUGGGUACCUGAAUGGCAUCUACAGUAAAGAAGGGGGUGGACACUAUAGCAGGGUCUGUGGUGACUGAACAAGGGGAAAUGGUUUCAAGCUCAAAGAGGGUGGAUUUAGGUUAGAUAUAAGGAAAAAGAUAUUUACAGUGGGGAUAGUGAGGCACUGGAACAGGUGGCCUAGGGAUGUAGUAGGUGCCCCAUCUGUGGAGACUUUCAAGGCCAGGCUGGAUCAGGUCCUGGGCAACCUGAUCUAGGUGUGGUGUCCCUGGUGCAUUGCAGGAGAGUUGGACUAGAUGGCCUUCAGAGGUCCCAGCAAACUCUAAGGAUUCUGUGAUUCUAUGAAAUUGUUUUUUUCCUGAAAUAGAUCAUAGGCUUUAUUGGCAUGUAAUGUACCUGCUGAUUGUUGUAAUUUACUGAAGUUCUUUUAUGGCUGAAUCCCUUCCUUUGGUCGAAUAAGUUUGGUCUCCCUCCCCCCCUAUCUUAAAUAUAUCAAGCCAACAAUACAAGCAGCUUUUGUUCCUUUAUAACGAAGCACUUGAAGUAGCUGAUCAAAGGGGCUACAGUUUCUUUUAGUGAGCUUCUGGUAAAGCAAGCUGUCAUUUUUAUUAAUGGCAUUUUGUAUCUUUGGUUUUAGGUUUUUAGGUAGCAGAGUUCCAUUAGAGAAAGCUUCUCUGCAUUUCCCUUUCCGCUGCUAGGUAAUGUUGAUCUUAGGAAAUUGUGCUUAAUAAAUAUUACAAUAAUGCUGUGACUGUAUCUUAAGGAUGUGCUUUCCUAGAUCAUCUGUGAAGUUUCACCUGAAAGACACCUUUUAAUUAGGAUCUCAUGCCUUUAGCAGAGCAUGAGGUGAGUCUCAAGGCGCAGGCCACACAAUGUAGUCGAAUUCUACUCAAUGUCCACUUAAAUUGAUACAUUUAUACAAACUGAUAAGCCUUAGAAGUUUUGAGAAAACAAAAAACCCCGUGAUUGUCGAUGUUGUAACCAAACCAUAACCAUUACAACAGUCUGCAGUCAUUUAAUAAUUCAAGCUUUGCGUAUCUGAAUAGGAAUGUGAGAGACUUUUCUUCUACCCUACAAAUCUUGCUAGCUCUGAGUCCUAUGGGUUUCUAGCUUGGGUUUCUAGUCUGAAGCCUUUCACAAAUUAGACAUCUGUGUUUAAUGAAUUGCUUUGUCAUCAGGAACAAUUUCAUUACUAAUUCUGUAGGUGAUUGAACAGAUUUUGCUUAUUUUAGGUAAAUUUAAUUUCAGGCUACUGUAUUGGAACGUACUCUUAUAACCUUACGUAAGACUCCUGUUUUUUGUUGUAUCUUAGUUAAAGGGGUGCAACUGUGGGUUAAAGGGGUAAACUAUGCAGAGAAUUCUGAUGCUACUGCUGCUUCUGUGCUUAAAAAUCAUGGAAUUGUGGAGACGUUAGUCGGAAGGGACUUCUGGAGGUCACGUAGUCCCACUCUUGCUCAUAGUGGGAAGAUGCUAACUAUAGAUCCAGUGAUGUCUUUUUCUAGCCAAGUCUUGAGAAGCUCCCAGGAGGGAGUUUGGGCCUGGUGGUCCAGCUGAUUUUCAGUCUGCUGAUAGCCUGCUUGUCUCUUGCAUAUUAACUGGAUUUUGAAAUGAUAAUGCUGUGGGAGUUAGUAUCAAAUGAACCAGUCUAAAUCUGGUUCUUUAGUUCAAAUGUUGGGCAACUUAAUAUUUGCACUUAUUCCCAUAAGUGUCCUGAUAUCUAAGAAAUACCCCUUGUAUAAUCCCCUGGCAAUGAUUGCAUUACACAGCGAAUGCAGCUAUUAAACUAGAGGAAUGCUUUAGAUUCUUGUCUAAAGUAUUCGAGUGUUAGAUGUAAUGCAGAUAUGGAGUUUGAGACUUCAAACCUUGCUGACAAUCCAUCGGGAAGGGAAGGAUGUUACACGUGUGUGACAAAGUGAGGGAGAAAGCCUUCAGUAGGGUACAGGGUUGUGUUUAGAAGAAUGAGCGAAUGUUAGAAUUGACACUUGUUUUAAUGUUGCAUUCUUAUUAUGUGUAAUUAGCUUUUCAAUUUUUUUAAGGCUAAAAUGUAGCAGUUGACUGUUUAGCCUAAGCUUAUUUCUAGGGUGUGGAAAAGAGGAAGUUCCUACUUGUGCACACUCCCAGUAAGUCAAAGGUUGAUGUAAUAAGUACUUCUGCAGAAAUCUCAUCUCCUUCUCAAGCCCUGAGGGUGCAGUUUCACAAUUGCCUUGAGCUGAGCUAAGCCUGUGCUGCUUCAAAAGUCGGUCUUGUUCCCUCCUUUGGGCCGUUAUCAGUGCUCAUAUGGUUAGUUGGAGCAGAAGGCUGAUCUCCAAGGAGAAAAAGAGCUGCGUCUCAAUUUUACAGAUGAAGUGGGUUCAGCAGAGGGAGGCAGAGUGAUUUCUUGAAAGUUGCACAAUAAAUCAAUGGCAGAGCUGAAAGCGGGGGCUGAAAAGUAGGAUCGUGUGAUUCAGUUUUGUUUUUUUUCCUUCUGAGACCUGAAUUUUGUGUUCAGUCACUUGGAGCAUGGUGUAAUCCUACUGGUUAAAUGUGGUUUUCAACUAGUGUAACUCGAGACUGGAAUCUGCUUAUGUGUCUAUCUUUUGUUUAUCGUGUUUUUUCUGGUGAGCAGCACAUGCUGUGCGUGUCAGAGAUGUGCCUCCCUGGAGAUAAAUAAGCUGGAGCAGUUUUGAGCAGUGCAUUUCUUUGAUGGCUUCCUUGCAUCAGUAAAUCAUUAUGUUUAGUUUGCUCUUUGCAAUGUUAAUUUUCCUUGCUCAGUUUUUACUUACCUCUAAGUGAGAAAUAAAAAAUCAUAGGUAGAGAAGAGUAAUUAAUGGCAGAUGGGUUCAACUUAGUUGUUUGCAAUUAAUGAUCUUGUGGGUGUCUAGAGCCUAUGGCUACAGAUGUUUGUUUUAAAGUCACUAUUUCUUUGCGUUGGGGAUUUUUGGCAAUUAAUCUCACAGAUAGCAGUAAAGAGUUAUUGUGAAUGGAGCAUCCUGGCCAGAGGUCCAGACUCCUUAUUCCUAAACAGAGAAGAGGGAUUUGUUUUACUAAAGGAGCAUUCUGUUCUUUGUUUCUGUGAAGGGAAUUUUGAAGGACUUUUGAUGCCCUGAACAAUCCCUUCUGUUGUCUGGGCCGCUCUCCAGUGCUGAUGCUAAUUCAUAAUGGAAAAUAAUGCUGAGAAUUAGGUGGCUGUUGAAGAAAUAAAAUUAUUCACUCUUCCUCACUGAAAGAAUUUCAGUGCUCCUUUGGGAGUCCUGUAUACACCAGCAAGCUUUCCUGUCUCAUCACCUAUCUAAAGAGAUUGCAUGAGAAAGUACCGAGAACCAUCCGGACACAAGACUGCACUCCUUGUGAAUUAGGAUAAUUGCCCAGAGUGUAAACAACCACGGUAGACAUCAGUUUUAACAAGGUGGUUUCAGGAAGCACACAAUUGUAUGUUAUCAUUCAGUGAUGGUGCUUUCCUUUUAAAAGUUAAUUUUGAGACUACUUCACUUACAUAUUUUAUUCCCUAUAAACCAGCAAUAACUCUCUUUGAAACAACCAGAUGGUUUCGUCUUUUAAAUCCGCAGAAAAUAAACAAGCUCUGGAGUGGAUGGAAGCUGUGGGAUGAACUGGAAUUCUCUGUUUAUAAGUGAUAUGUAAUGGGCAAAAUUAAUCAGGCAUGGUUUUAAUUCUCCUUUAUUAUUAUUCUUUUGUUCCAAAGAUAUGGCAAUGACAAACAGCACAUGAAAUUCAUCUGAUUGGUGGGAAAUGGGGCUGGAAGAGAAUUCUUUCUAAAAGCAUUUGUAACAGUCUCAAACAGUAACUCUUCUAGAAGGAGGAGGAACUGCGAAGGGAAGUCUAUGGGAUGCAUCUCAGGGCUGAAGCGGCAGACUUGGCUCCUUGUAAACAUUCAUCUCAGAAGAAAUAGUGGCUCGGGUUCUUCCUGAAAGAAACUUCUGUUGGGGCUGACACACGAACUUUGAUUUAUUUCCCGAAGGAUUUGUGUAGGUUUCUGGUUGGACUCAGGUCAGUAUCUACAUUUUUCUUCACCUCUGGAAUUUGAGUGGGAGAGUUCAGUUUGCAGUUAUAUUGUGUUGGUUUCCAUGGCCUCUUUCUCUAAUGUGCACAAGAAGGAAGAGAUUGUUACUUUUUUCUUUUUCUAUUUCUUUUCAAGUACUGCUUCCCUACUUUAUUUUAUUUUACUUCUUUGUUGUCUGCAGAACAUUGUAGUGUAGGUAACUGGUUACUUCAAGUAGCGACUGGUCUUUUCAUGAUGAUGUUAAACUGAUUGAUCAAGUGUUCUUGAAAAGCAUGUUACAGUUGCAUCCUGACUAUAUCACGGGGGAGGAAUAUUCCCAGCCUGUCAUAUUGAUAGUUUCUUCUAUCUUACUGCGUUUGGUGAGUGCUGUGCAGUUUGCACAGCUGUGUAUUAGUCUCUGACCCUGCCUUUUGUAAGACGUUACAUUUCUGAUUUUGAUACACAAUUUCUCUUUUCAGAGGUAUUUUGCUUACAGCAAAUAUUACAAUUUGAAUUUAGUCCCUGUUUAUAUAUUGGAUUUGUCCUACUUUUGGUCAACUGUGACAAAGCACAGGCUCACCUGACCUAGUACUAGCCCUUUCUGUAGAUGGGGAUGAGCUGCUUUUGCAUGUGUUUCCAGCUGCCUGAGCUUUAGGAAGCGAACUAAGGUUCAGCAGUGCAAAAAGUCAUGCUGCUUGUUCCACUGGAGGCUAUAACCCGUGUGAUGACAGGCAGGUCCUUGCUACAGAGGACUGAAAUUAGACCACACAAACCUAAAUGUGGGAAGUAUUUGUACAAGUAAGGUGUACAAGUAUGUGUAGUUGCAUUUUAACCAUGGUGAAGUUGUUAAAAUAGGUUUGUCAGCUAUUCUGUAUAUAGUGAAAAUUUCCAGUCUCGUGAGGCUUGAGGCAGAGGUUGAUUUCUAGUUCAAGAGAGAAUCCAAAUGUAAUGAUAAUACGCCAGUCAGAAAUAAUGAUUACUGUUGAAUCUCUCUUUUGAUCCACAAUGUAAUACCUAGUUCCAGGAAAAAAAGUACAUGAGUGAUCUCAUGUCAUUCUAAG
rnacentral:lncRNA from 1 species